GGCCAGCAUCAGUUUUGGUGGCAGGAUAAAUCCAUAGGAAUGUAGCUUGCCUCGGUAAGUAUUAUAGCCUGUGGGAAUACUGCCAGCUGGGACUGAGGACUGCGACGUAAGUCAAGGAUGCUGGCAUAAU
rnacentral:rRNA from 1 species